UCUUGCGGAUGAGCAAGGAAGUGGUUUCCUGAGACAGAAUCUACUCCUGGUGAAAAUGCUGUGAA
rnacentral:pre_miRNA from 1 species